rnacentral:lncRNA from 1 species
UGGUGCUGGUAGGGCUGGCUAUGGGGCUGGUUCUGGUAGGGCUGGCUAUGGGGAUGGUGGUACCAGUGGGGCUGGUUCUGGGGCUGGUGGUACCAGUAGGGCUGGCUAUGGGGCUGGUUCCUGUAGGGCUGGUUAUGGGGCUGGUGGUACCAGUGGGGCUGGUUCCGGUAGGGCUGGCUGUGAUGGGUCCAGUGGUACCAGUGGGGCUGGUUCUGGUAGGGCUGGCUAUGGGGCUGGUUCUGGUAGGGCUGGUUAUGGGGCUGGUGGUACCAGUGGGGCUGGUUCCGGUAGGGCUGGCUAUGGGGCUGGUGGUACCAGUGGGGCUGGUUCCGCUAGGGAUGGCUAUGGGGCUGGUGCUGGUAGAGCUGGUUAUGGGGCUGGUGCUGGUAGGGCUGGCUAUGGGGCUGGUGGUACCAGUAGGGCUGGUUCUGGUAGGGCUGGCUAUGAUGGGUCCAGUGGUUCCAGUGGGGCUGGUUCUGGUAGGGCUGGUUCUGGUAGGGCUGGUUAUGGGGCUGGUGGUACCAAUAGGGCUGGUUCUGGUAGGGAUGGCUAUGGGGCUGGUGGUACCAGUGGGGCUGGUUCUGGUAGGGCUGGCUAUGAUGGGUCCAGUGGUAUCAGUGGGGCUGGUUCAUGUAGGGCUGGCUAUGGGGCUGGUGGUACCAGUAGGGCUGGUUCCGGUAGCGAUGGCUAUGGGGCUGGUUCCUGUAGGGCUGGCUAUGGGGCUGGCGGUACCAGUGAGGCUGGUUCCGGUAGGGCUGGCUAUGGGGCUGGCUCUGGUAGGGCUGGCUAUGAUGGGUCCAGUGAUACCAAUGGGGCUGGUUCCGGUAGGGCUGGUUCCGGUAGGGCUGGCUAUGGGGCUGGUUCCGGUAGGGCUGGCAAUGGGGCUGGUGGUACCAGUAGGGCUGGUUCCGGUAGGGCUGGUUCAGGUAGGGCUGGUGGUACCAAUAGGGCUGGUUCUGGUGGUGCUCUCAAUGGGUCCAGUGGUACCGGUGGUACCGGUUCUGGUGGUGCCGUCAAUGAUGGGUCCGGUGGUACCGGUUCUGAUGGUACCGGUUCUGGUGGUACCAGUGUUGGUGGUUCUGGUAUUGCUGGUACCGGUGUCUGUAUGGUACCAAUGGGGGCUGUUGUGGUUCCGGUUCCGGUUCUGGUUCCGGUUCUGGUUCUGGUUCUGGUCCCGGUGUCGCUCUAUGAUGGAGCUGGGGGGUUCCCAGGGGGUGACACGGGGAUGGAGCUGAUGGAGCUGGAACUGGGGGGGGG